GAUGAACGCUGGCGGCGUGCCUAAUACAUGCAAGUCGAGCGAACGGAUGAGGAGCUUGCUCCUCUGAUGUUAGCGGCGGACGGGUGAGUAACACGUGGAUAACCUACCUAUAAGACUGGGAUAACUUCGGGAAACCGGAGCUAAUACCGGAUAAUAUUUCGAACCGCAUGGUUCAAAAGUUAAAGAAGGUAUUUCUUUCACUUAUAGAUUGACCCGCGCUGUAUUAGCUAGUUGGUAAGGUAACGGCUUACCAAGGCGACGAUGCAUAGCCGACCUGAGAGGGUGGUCGGCCACACUGGAACUGAGACACGGCACAGACUCCUACGGGAGGCAGCAGUAGGGAAUCUUCCGCAAUGGGCGAAAGCCUGACGGAGCAACGCCGCGUGAGUGAUGAAGGUCUUCGGAUCGUAAAACGCUGUUAUUAGGGAAGAACAUAUGUGUAAGUACCUGUGAACAUCUUGACGGUACCUAAUCAGAAAGCCACGGCUAACUACGUG
rnacentral:rRNA from 1 species